rnacentral:rRNA from 1 species
AUUGAACGCUGGCGGCAGGCCUAACACAUGCAAGUCGAACGAGUGGCGGACGGGUGAGUAAUGUCUGGGAAACUGCCUGAUGGAGGGGGAUAACUACUGGAAACGGUAGCUAAUACCGCAUACCAUCGGAUGUGCCCAGAUGGGAUUGGCUAGUAGGUGGGGUAAAGGCUCACCUAGGCGACGAUCCCUAGCUGGUCUGAGAGGAUGAACGGCCACACGGGAACUGAGACACGGUCCGGAUUCCUACGGGAGGAAGCAGGGGGGAAUAUUGCACAAGGGGCGCAAGCCUGAUGCAGCCAUGCCGCGGGUAUGAAGAAGGCCUUCGGGUGGUAAAGUACGUUCAGCGGGGAGGCGUUACCCGCAGAAGAAGCACCGGCUAACUCCGUGCCAGCAGCCGCGGUAAUAC